ACGGAAGGCAGCAGUGGGGAAUUUUGCGCAAUGGGGGAAACCCUGACGCAGCAACGCCGCGUGCGGGAUGACGGCCUUCGGGUUGUAAACCGCUUUCAGCAGGGACGAUUAUGACGGUACCUGCAGAAGAAGCUCCGGCUAACUACGUGCCAGCAGCCGCGGUAAUACGUAGGGAGCGAGCGUUAUCCGGAUUCAUUGGGCGUAAAGCGCGCGUAGGCGGAUGCCUAAGCGGAACCUCUAAUCCGAGGGCUCACCCCCCGGCCGGGUUCCGAACUGGGCGUCUCGAGUGCGGUAGGGGCAAGUGGAAUUCCAUGUGUAGCGGUGGAAUGCGCAGAUAUAUGGAAGAACACCGAUGGCGAAGGCAGCUUGCUGGGCCGACACUGACGCUGAGGUGCGAAAGCGUGGGGAGCGAACAGGAUUAGAUACCCUGGUA
rnacentral:rRNA from 1 species